GCCCGCUAAGCCGAACUGUCACCGUAUGGUGUGCGUGCCCGUAAGGGCUAGGCUUGCGGGUUUUG
rnacentral:sRNA from 12 species